UCACCCAGCCAGCUGUCCCUCCUUCCGCUGGUGUCUCAUCACCAGGCUCACGAGACCUGGGGUGAAAGGGUGCACACGCAACAGGUUAAGGGGGAAUGAAUUCUGCUUCAGAUGCAGUUUUGGAAGGAGCUUGCCCUGAAAGAGUCUCGCUGUCACCAGCAUGGGUUGAAAACUAUAAAGCAACCUAUGUGCCUCAUCAAGAUUUUGCAUUGCUCAGCAAGGGCUCAGAACGUCCAGCCCAGCAAAAGCCCACAAGCUCUGGAGUUCUCUGACAAAUAAACACCAUUAAAAAUAA